AAUACAUUAAACGAGGAGUACACCAAAUAGAUUAUGAAAAUAAGGCAGUGACACAUUUUAGAAACUUGUGGAAAAUGACGAAGGAAUUUUUAGGAGACCCAAAGUUUUAACUUUAGAGCUCAAGUCAAUAACUCAACAUUAGAUGGUCAAAAUGCACAUGAGAUAUCAAAGAAAAAUAAUAGUAAUAAAUAAUAAUCAGUGAGUGUUAUAGAAAAAACCUCAGAUAAUCAUUUAUAAAAUCAAAAGUGCCGUAAACAACUCUUGUGGCUUAUAAAAGCUGCUGAUAUCUUUUAAAGCUUAUUAAAUUAGAAGUGACCAUGAACGAGUUUGUAGAAAAAUUUAAGAAAUCGGCUACAUACCAGCUGGCACCGGUAGGUACCCGCUGGGUCUUUUGUGCCCC